rnacentral:piRNA from 1 species
UUGUGCUCUUACUCUUGGUUAUUUCCCUGG